rnacentral:lncRNA from 1 species
UGUGUGCCAGAGUGCAUGUUUAUUUAGGGUGGGUGGUUGAGGAAGUGAUUGUGUAUAUAUAGUAAGUACAUGAGGUAGUGUUGUUAGAACCAGCAUUUGUUGACCAUCUCACAGCAGUCAGACAGAAGCCCAGUAUGAAGUUAACAAUUUCUCUCACAGUUUUCAUGGGAUUUUUCUGGGUCCUGCCCUCAGAGGUCUCUACAGAUAACACGCAGGUGCCAUCUCCCAGAAUUAUCCAGCCCAUAAUGUCCAGAAUAGGAGCUGUUCUAGGAAAGGGGUUGGUUAUUGAAUGUAAGGCAGACCCAGGCCUUCCUGAUGAAUUUGCCCUUGUCUACUGGCUGGUAAACGGCACAUUCCCAAAUGUAGCCUCCACUGAUGGCAGAGUAUCAGAAACAGAAGAGUCAGUUUCAGAGGACGGCAGGGUGAUCCAGAGGAGUCUGGUGUUUAAGAGCGUGACUGCAGAGGACUUCAGGUCCACCUUUACCUGUGUGAUAAACAGCCCAGCUGGGCUUGACCAAAGGACUUUCACACUGGCCAAUCACAAGGCUCUAUUUCCCCCUCCUUCACCCACUCCCAAAACCGAGGAGAGAACAAUGAGAAAAGACACAGGAAAAGGGAUCACAGGAAAAGGGAUCACAGGAAAAAGGAUCACAGGAAAAAGGAUCACAGCAAAACACACUAGCAAGAAAUGA